GAUGAACGCUGGCGGCGUGCCUAAUACAUGCAAGUCGAACGAAACUUCUUUAUCACCGAGUGCUUGCACUCACCGAUACAGAGUUGAGUGGCGAACGGAUGAGUAACUCGUGGGCAACCUGCCCUAAAGAGGGGGAUAACACUUGGAAACAGGUGCUAAUACCGCAUAACCAUAGUUACCGCAUGGUAACUAUGUAAAAGGUGGCUAUACUACCGCUUUUGGAUGGGCCCGCGGCGCAUUAGCUAGUUGGUAGGGUAAAGGCUUACCAAGGCAAUGAUGCGUAGCCGAAUUGAGAGGUUGAUCGGCCACAUUGGGACUGAGACACGGCCCAAACUCCUACGGGAGGCAGCAGUAGGGAAUCGGCCGCAAUGGGCGAAAGCCUGAUGGAGCAACGCCGCGUGGGUGAAGAAGGUUUUCGGAGCGUAAAACCCUGUUGUUAGAGAAGAAAGGGCGUGAGAGUAACUGUUCACGUUGCGACGGUAUCUAACCAGAAAGCCACGGCUAACUACGUG
rnacentral:rRNA from 1 species